UACAGAGGGGGCAAGCGUUGUUCGGAAUUACUGGGCGUAAAGGGCGCGUAGGCGGCCUGUUAAGUCGGACGUGAAAUCCCUCGGCUCAACCGGGGAACUGCGUCCGAUACUGGCGGGCUUGAAUUCGGGAGAGGGAUGUGGAAUUCCAGGUGUAGCGGUGAAAUGCGUAGAUAUCGGGAGGAACACCGGUGGCGAAGGCGGUUCUCUGGGCCUUACCUGACACUGAGGAGCGAAAGCGUGGGGAGCGAACAGG
rnacentral:rRNA from 1 species